rnacentral:lncRNA from 1 species
CUGUCUGUAGAAUUUCGGGAGAUUUGAUAAAAAGUUCUGACAGCUGGCAAGCCAAGACUGCUUUUAAGUGAGGGCUAAUAAAUAUCCUCUCAGAUCAAGAGCGAAUUCAGGGCCGGUGUCUAAGGAAAGGGCUGUCCCCUCCCCAUGUGUGGUUCUCGUGCCACGUGCAAAGCGGAGCUCAGCUGAGCACACUGGAGCGGCGUUGAAACGGAUCCAAUACUUCACCAUCUGGCCCUGAUUGUAAACAUGUGUACACAAAGUGAGUGUCACUUCAGCUAAUUCACGAGGGCCAGGCUGCUCUGGCGGCAGCUGCAGCUGUCCCCGGGGUAGGGGGCAGAGUGGCGGCCCCCGAGGACAGCAGGACAUACAGUUGGGCGGCUUUUCUUCCCUCGGGGUCUGUGGACCGGCCAGAGGGAGGCUAGACAGCCAGGCUUCAGAGGCCCGCCUGGGCACCACAUGUCUUCAUUUCCUUAGGGCUGAUGGUGGCCUUCCAUCUAGCUUUCUGGCCAUAUUGCUCUGUAUUUAAUCCUUUUCCUUUCGGAUUGUAAAUAUCCUCAAGGCAGGCUGUGCUGCUCUCCUGCUUCUCCCGGUUGAGGGACUUGCACUUGAGAUGUUAUCAUUGAACUAAGAUAAAUCCCUAGCAAUAACUUCUUCUUCGUGUCUAUUUGAAGCCUUCCUGCCCUUCCUUGCAUAUAUUUCCGCUAUUUCCGCCUUUGCUGGGCAGAGCGAAGGGCCGAAUCCUCAUCCCUCCGGGUGGAGGAGGCUCUGAAUGAGUUCUCUUGUCUCUUGAGCAAGGAGCAGCGAGAUCUCAGGUAAGUUCUCAUAAUGUCCCCGGGCCUCACUUUCAUCAUCUUUCGAAGGAGAUCAUUAUCCCCACGCCUUUCCAUAGGCCCUCCCUGGCCUCCCAGCCCCAGCUGCCCCCCCGUGGAGAUGGGAGCGAUGGUCCAGAGAAGUAAGUGCGGUGCAGUGCCGGGCCCAAUUAAGAGUGAUGGCCAUCAUGGCGGACGCACUCGAAAGUCACCACGGGCCAGUCUCCUCUGCAGCUCAGGCUUGUUCUUCCUGCACCCCCUGCAGCCUCUCUUGGAAGGUUUUGAUGAGCUCUCACCGGCGGGGCAAGCUCGGCAGUGGGGACACGAGAGCAGAAAUCGGCAGGGCCAGGAGCAGCCCUAAGACGGCGCCAUGGGGUGCAGGGAGGCUGCACCGUGGGCACUUUGGGAAAUGGGGGGCAAGGGGCGGCCACGGGGAGCCUGUGCUUCCCGUCCCCAGAGCUGGCAUCCUGAGCAUGUUGGCAGGCCCCCACUGUCACCAGGGUGUCCCACAGGUGCGGCUCUGCAGAGGUCAAUUCCACAACAGCACUGCCCCCGGUGAGCUCAUGCCACAGGAGGCCACUGAAAUGUGGCUGCUCCGGAGACAAGGCCCUUCCUUCUUCCCAGGGCCCAACCUGCAGGGCAGGCAAGAGGUGAGGGCAGUGGGGAGAGGCUCCAAGGGGACAAAGUCGUGAUUCCCGGAGAAAGGGGCGAGUGUAGGGGAUCUGGCAACCCAACAACCCACCCUGGAGAAUCAAAAUGAGACAAUUCCACUGCGUGACACCCUCCCCGUAACAGACGCCUAAUUAAAGCUGGACGGAAACAGGCAAGAAAACCACUUAAUCUAGAUGAUAUUUGCCUUGCUAAUUUGGGGGGGGGGGUGUGUGUGUGUGUGUGUGUGUGUGUUUUCCUGUUGAGUGAGUGUUUAUAAAAUCUUAAUUAGGUUGUGCGUAUUGGAACAGAGAUGGAAAUACGUCUUUUUUUUUCCUGUAAUGGUCUCACUUCCCCAGGGGACAUUAAAGCCCCAUACACAAUAUUCUCUGAGCAGGGGAAGUAGUAAUGGCCUCUGACGACGGGCUCCGGGAGG